AGAGUUUGAUCAUGGCUCAGGACGAACGCUGGCGGCGUGCUUAACACAUGCAAGUGGAGCGACGAACCGGGCUUCGGCCCGGGGCAAAGCCGCGAACGGGUGAGUAUCACGUGGGUAACCUGCCCCGAUGACCGGGACAACCCGAGGAAACUCGGGCUAAUACCGGAUGUGCUCCUCGCACAUCAGUGCAAGGAGUAAAGGAAGCUUCGGCCUCCGCAUUGGGAUGGGCCCGCGGCCCAUUAGCUUGUUGGUGAGGUAAAGGCUCACCAAGGCAACGAUGGGUAGCUGGUCUGAGAGGACGAUCAGCCACACUGGGACUGAGACACGGCCCAGACUCCUACGGGAGGCAGCAGUGGGGAAUCUUGCGCAAUGCGCGAAAGCGUGACGCAGCAACGCCGCGUGAGGGAAGACGGCCUUCGGGUUGUAAACCUCUUUCAGGAGGGACGAAGGUUCAGGCGCGAAUAGCGUCCUGGACUGACGGUACCUCCAGAAGAAGCCCCGGCUAACUACGUGCCAGCAGCCGCGGUAAUACGUAGGGGGCUAGCGUUGUCCGGAAUCAUUGGGCGUAAAGAGCGUGUAGGCGGCCCGGUAAGUCCGCUGUAAAAGUCAAAGGCUCAACCUUUGAAUGUCAGUGGAUACUGCCGGGCUAGAGUCCGGAAGAGGCGAGUGGAACUCCUGGUGUAGCGGUGGAAUGCGCAGAUAUCAGGAAGAACACCAACGGCGAAGGCAGCUCGCUAGGACGGUACUGACGCUGAGACGCGAAAGCGUGGGGAGCGAACAGGAUUAGAUACCCCGGUAGUCC
rnacentral:rRNA from 1 species